rnacentral:rRNA from 1 species
GACAGAGGGUGCAAACGUUGUUCGGAAUUACUGGGCGUAAAGCGUGUGUAGGCGGCCACGUAAGUCGGAUGUGAAAGCCCCAGGCUCAACCUGGGAAGUGCACUCGAUACUGCGUGGCUUGAGUAUCGGAGAGGUUGGUGGAAUUCUCGGUGUAGAGGUGAAAUUCGUAGAUAUCGAGAGGAACACCGGUGGCGAAGGCGGCCAACUGGACGAAUACUGACGCUGAGACACGAAAGCGUGGGAGCAAACAGG